rnacentral:rRNA from 1 species
UCCUGGCUCAGGAUGAACGCUAGCUACAGGCUUAACACAUGCAAGUCGAGGGGCAGCAUGGUCUUAGCUUGCUAAGGCCGAUGGCGACCGGCGCACGGGUGAGUAACACGUAUCCAACCUGCCGUCUACUCUUGGACAGCCUUCUGAAAGGAAGAUUAAUACAAGAUGGCAUCAUGAGUCCGCAUGUUCACAUGAUUAAAGGUAUUCCGGUAGACGAUGGGGAUGCGUUCCAUUAGAUAGUAGGCGGGGUAACGGCCCACCUAGUCUUCGAUGGAUAGGGGUUCUGAGAGGAAGGUCCCCCACAUUGGAACUGAGACACGGUCCAAACUCCUACGGGAGGCAGCAGUGAGGAAUAUUGGUCAAUGGGCGAGAGCCUGAACCAGCCAAGUAGCGUGAAGGAUGACUGCCCUAUGGGUUGUAAACUUCUUUUAUAUGGGAAUAAAGUGAGCCACGUGUGGCUUUUUGUAUGUACCAUACGAAUAAGGAUCGGCUAACUCCGUGCCAGCAGCCGCGGUAAUACGGAGGAUCCGAGCGUUAUCCGGAUUUAUUGGGUUUAAAGGGAGCGUAGGCGGACGCUUAAGUCAGUUGUGAAAGUUUGCGGCUCAACCGUAAAAUUGCAGUUGAUACUGGGUGUCUUGAGUACAGUAGAGGCAGGCGGAAUUCGUGGUGUAGCGGUGAAAUGCUUAGAUAUCACGAAGAACUCCGAUUGCGAAGGCAGCUUACUGGACUGUAACUGACGCUGAUGCUCGAAAGUGUGGGUAUCAAACAGGAUUAGAUACCCUGGUAGUCCACACAGUAAACGAUGAAUACUCGCUGUUUGCGAUAUACAGUAAGCGGCCAAGCGAAAGCGUUAAGUAUUCCACCUGGGGAGUACGCCGGCAACGGUGAAACUCAAAGGAAUUGACGGGGGCCCGCACAAGCGGAGGAACAUGUGGUUUAA